rnacentral:rRNA from 1 species
ACUCCUACGGGAGGCAGCAGUAAGGAAUAUUGCGCAAUGGGCGAAAGCCUGACGCAGCGACGCCGCGUGGGGGAUGAAGGUCUUCGGAUUGUAAACCCCUUUCGGGAGGGAAGAUGGAGCGAGCAAUCGUUCGGACGGUACCUCCAGAAGCAGCCACGGCCAACUUCGUGCCAGCGCCGCGGUAA